AGAAUUUCGGUUACCGAUGGGGAUGCGUUCCAUUAGUUUGUUGGCGGGGUAACGGCCCACCAAGACUACGAUGGAUAGGGGUUCUGAGAGGAAGGUCCCCCACAUUGGAACUGAGACACGGUCCAAACUCCUACGGGAGGCAGCAGUGAGGAAUAUUGGUCAAUGGACGAGAGUCUGAACCAGCCAAGUAGCGUGAAGGAUGACUGCCCUAUGGGUUGUAAACUUCUUUUAUAUGGGAAUAAAGUAUUCCACGUGUGGGAUUUUGU
rnacentral:rRNA from 1 species